rnacentral:rRNA from 1 species
CCUACGGGUGGCAGCAGUGGGGAAUAUUGGACAAUGGGCGAAAGCCUGAUCCAGCCAUGCCGCGUGUGUGAAGAAGGCCUUCGGGUUGUAAAGCACUUUCAGUGGGGAAGAAAUCCUUGGGGCUAAUACCCUCGAGGAAGGACAUCACCCACAGAAGAAGCACCGGCUAACUCCGUGCCAGCAGCCGCGGUAAUACGGAGGGUGCGGGCGUUAAUCGGAAUUACUGGGCGUAAAGCGCGCGUAGGCGGUCUGAUAAGCCGGUUGUGAAAGCCCCGGGCUCAACCUGGGAACGGCAUCCGGAACUGUCAGGCUAGAGUGCAGGAGAGGAAGGUAGAAUUCCCGGUGUAGCGGUGAAAUGCGUAGAGAUCGGGAGGAAUACCAGUGGCGAAGGCGGCCUUCUGGACUGACACUGACGCUGAGGUGCGAAAGCGUGGGUAGCAAACAGGAUUAGAUACCCGGGUAGUC